rnacentral:rRNA from 1 species
CCUACGGGCGGCUGCAGUGGGGAAUAUUGGACAAUGGGGGCAACCCUGAUCCAGCAAUGCCGCGUGUGUGAAGAAGGCCUUCGGGUUGUAAAGCACUUUUAUCCGGAACGAAACGUGCGGGGUGAAUAGCCUCGUAAACUGACGGUACCGGAGGAAUAAGCACCGGCUAACUUCGUGCCAGCAGCCGCGGUAAUACGAAGGGUGCAAGCGUUACUCGGAAUUACUGGGCGUGGAUGGUUCGGAGUGGGUUGAAAUCCCCGGGCUCAACCUGGGAAUGGCAGUGGAUACUGGAAAGCUGGAGUGCGGUAGAGGGUAGUGGAAUUCCCGGUGUAGCAGUGAAAUGCGUAGAGAUCGGGAGGAACACCAGUGGCGAAGGCGGCUACCUGGACCAGCACUGACACUGAGGCACGAAAGCGUGGGGAGCAAACAGGAUUAGAUACCCUAGUAGUC